CCUACGGGUGGCAGCAGUGAGGAAUAUUGGUCAAUGGACGAGAGUCUGAACCAGCCAAGUAGCGUGAAGGAUGAAUGCUCUAUGGGUUGUAAACUUCUUUUAUAUGGGAAUAAAGUUAUCAACGUGUUCCUUUUUGUAUGUACCCUAUGAAUAAGCAUCGGCUAACUCCGUGCCAGCAGCCGCGGUAAUACGGAGGAUGCGAGCGUUAUCCGGAUUUAUUGGGUUUAAAGGGUGCGUAGGUUGUUUUUUAAGUCAGCGGUGAAAGUUUGUGGCUCAACCAUAAAAUUGCCGUUGAAACUGGUUGACUUGAGUGUAUUUGAGGUAGGCGGAAUGCGUGGUGUAGCGGUGAAAUGCAUAGAUAUCACGCAGAACUCCGAUUGCGAAGGCAGCUUACUAAGCUAUAACUGACACUGAAGCACGAAAGCGUGGGGAUCAAACAGGAUUAGAUACCCGAGUAGUC
rnacentral:rRNA from 1 species